GAGGGUAUAGCUCAAGCGGUAGAGCGCAUGCCUAGUGUGUAUGAGGCCCUGGGUUCAAUCCCCAGUACCUCCU
rnacentral:tRNA from 1 species